GACGAACGCUGGCGGCGUGCCUAAUACAUGCAAGUUGAGCGCUUAAGGUUGGUACUUGUACCGACUGGAUGAGCAGCGAACGGGUGAGUAACGCGUGGGGAAUCUGCCUUUGAGCGGGGGACAACAUUUGGAAACGAAUGCUAAUACCGCAUAAAAACUUUAAACACAAGUUUUAAGUUUGAAAGAUGCAAUUGCAUCACUCAAAGAUGAUCCCGCGUUGUAUUAGCUAGUUGGUGAGGUAAAGGCUCACCAAGGCGAUGAUACAUAGCCGACCUGAGAGGGUGAUCGGCCACAUUGGGACUGAGACACGGCCCAAACUCCUACGGGAGGCAGCAGUAGGGAAUCUUCGGCAAUGGACGAAAGUCUGACCGAGCAACGCCGCGUGAGUGAAGAAGGUUUUCGGAUCGUAAAACUCUGUUGGUAGAGAAGAACGUUGGUGAGAGUGGAAAGCUCAUCAAGUGACGGUAACUACCCAGAAAGGGACGGCUAACUACGUG
rnacentral:rRNA from 1 species